rnacentral:rRNA from 1 species
GUGUGAGAAGGGCAUUCGGUGGAUGCCUUGGCGUCGAGAGGCGAUGAAGGACGUGAUACGCUGCGAUAAGCUGUGGGGAGCCGCGAAUAGGCCUUGAUCCGCAGAUUUCCGAAUGGGGAAACCCCACCCUUUUGGGUGACCGUGAGCUGAAUACAUAGGCUCAUGGGGCGAACCCGGUGAACUGAAAUAUCUCAGUAGCCGGAGGAAAGGACAUCAACAGAGACUCCGCUAGUAGUGACGAGCGAACGCGGACCAGGCCAGUGCUCUUAUCAAUCGAACUGGAACCGUCUGGAAAGUCGGGCCGCAGUGGGUGACAGCCCCGUACAGGUAGGAAAGAUAAGAGACUCGAGUAGGGCGGGACACGUGAAAUCCUGUCUGAACAUGGGGGGACCAUCCUCCAAGCCUAAGUACUCCUACAUGACCGAUAGUGAACCAGUACCGUGAGGGAAAGGUGAAAAGCACCCCGACGAGGGGAGUGAAACAGACCCUGAAACUGGACGCCUACAAGCAGUCGGAGGGCGCAAGCCUGACGGCGUACCUUUUGUAUAAUGGGUCAGCGACUUACUUUCAGUAGCAAGGUUAACCGUAUAGGGGAGCCGUAGAGAAAUCGAGUCUUAACUGGGCGAUCAGUUGCUGGAAGUAGACCCGAAACCGAGCGAUCUAUCCAUGGCCAGGGUGAAGGUUAGGUAACACUGACUGGAGGCCCGAACCCACAUCUGUUGAAAAAGAUGGGGAUGAGCUGUGGAUCGGAGUGAAAGGCUAAUCAAGCUCGGAGAUAGCUGGUUCUCCUCGAAAGCUAUUUAGGUAGCGCCUCAUGUAUCACCCUCGGGGGUAGAGCACUGUUUCGGCUAGGGGGCCAUCCCGGCUUACCAAACCGAUGCAAACUCCGAAUACCGAGGAGUGCAAUCAUGGGAGACACACGGCGGGUGCUAACGUCCGUCGUGGAAAGGGAAACAACCCAGACCGCCAGCUAAGGUCCCUAAAUCUAGAUUAAGUGGGAAACGAUGUGGGAAGGCACAGACAGCUAGGAGGUUGGCUUAGAAGCAGCCAUCCUUUAAAGAAAGCGUAAUAGCUCACUAGUCGAGUCGGCCUGCGCGGAAGAUGUAACGGGGCUCAAACUGGUUACCGAAGCUGCGGCUGUGCACGCAAGUGCACGGGGUAGGGGAGCGUUCUGUAAGCCUGCGAAGGUGUGUCGAGAGGCAUGCUGGAGGUAUCAGAAGUGCGAAUGCUGACAUGAGUAACGAUAAAGGGGGUGAAAAACCCCCUCGCUGAAAGACCAAGGGUUCCUGUCCAACGUUAAUCGGGGCAGGGUGAGUCGACCCCUAAGGCGAGGGCGAAAGCCGUAGUCGAUGGGAAUCAGGUUAAUAUUCCUGAACCUGGUGGGAUGUGACGAAUACCGGAAGCCGUACAUUCUUAUUGGAUUGAGUGUGCGGCCUGGGUGUUCCAGGAAAUAGCCCCAUCGAAUAGACCGUACCCCAAACCGACACAGGUGGGCAGGUAGAAGAUACCAAGGCGCUUGAGGGAACUAUGUUGAAGGAACUCGGCAAAAUGCCCCCGUAACUUCGGGAGAAGGGGGACCUCGCAUUGGGCAACCAGUGAGGGGUGGCACAGAGUAGGGGGUGGCGACUGUUUACUAAAAACACAGGGCUCUGCGAAGCCGCAAGGCGCGGUAUAGGGUCUGACGCCUGCCCGGUGCCGGAAGGUUAAUUGAUGGGGUUAGCGUAUGCGAAGCUCUUGAUCGAAGCCCCGGUAAACGGCGGCCGUAACUAUAACGGUCCUAAGG